AUUAAAUGUAAAAUGGCGGAAACAUUCCUUUUGGGCAAAUCACUUUUCUCGUUUUAAAUGAGUUCUAUUUAGAAACAAAACAAAUGAAAUGGUGGCAAUGUCAAUUACAAGGAUGAUAAGGCUUUAUCUGAUCACAUCUUCAAGGUUUUAUGCCUUUUCCUUCGUGUCCUGUCCUUCCCUCCUCCACUCCCCACUCCUGUUUCUCUGUAAGUCAGUUUUAACAAGGGGAAAAACAAAAACCUUGCAAGGGUAUAUCAAGGGUGAGAAAAUAUUACGAUGGACCUGCAUUUCUUUAUUAAUGAAACACCACCUGGAACACAGCUGUGACUUGAUGAACAAGUGAAAUAUUCUUUGGUGUGGUGAGGGGAAAACAAAUUUCUCAAAGGACACGCACCAUGGUGUAUGAGAGGACACUGGAGCCCAGCCAGCAUCUGACAUGCUGAAUUCAAAGUGCAGGUGAAAGUAGGACAACUGAUUCACAAGCUGGGAUGCCUGUGUUGUUGUUUGCCAGUGUGGGUGUGUG
rnacentral:lncRNA from 1 species